rnacentral:rRNA from 1 species
CCGAGAAUAUUGGACAAUGGGGGAAACCCUGAUCCAGCGACACCGCGUGUGGGAAGAAGGUCUUCGGAUUGUAAACCACUUUUAUAUGGGAGCAAGUUAUUGAGAGUACCAUGGGAAUAAGGGGUUGCUAACUCUGUGCCAGCAGCAGCGGUAAUACAGAGACCCCGAGCGUUAUCCGGAUUUAUUGGGCAUAAAGGGUGCGUAGGCGGUUGGAGAAGUCUCGAGUUAAAUAUCCAGAGCUCAACUUUGGAAAUGCUUGGGAAACCAUUCAACUGGAAGAUGCUAGAGGCAAACGGAACCAUCGGUGUAGGGGUGAAAUCCGUUGAUAUCGAUGGGAACACCAAAAGCGAAGGCAGUUUGCUGGGGCAAUCUUGACGCUGAGGCACGAAAGCGUGGGGAG